UACGAAGGGGGCUAGCGUUGCUCGGAAUCACUGGGCGUAAAGCGCACGUAGGCGGCUUGUUAAGUCAGGGGUGAAAUCCUGGAGCUCAACUCCAGAACUGCCUUUGAUACUGGCGAGCUUGAGUUCGGGAGAGGUGAGUGGAACUGCGAGUGUAGAGGUGAAAUUCGUAGAUAUUCGCAAGAACACCAGUGGCGAAGGCGGCUCGCUGGCCCGAUACUGACGCUGAGGUGCGAAAGCGUGGGGAGCAAACAGG
rnacentral:rRNA from 1 species